GGCCUGGUGCCGGCACUAGCAGACGGCACGGCCUUGGAGACCCAUCAUCUCGAUCUCGCACAGACCAUGUAGCGUCCUCAUCUCCUUGUCGUCCUCCUCGUCAUCUCCGUCACCAUCGCCGCCGCCGGACUCUGGUGCUCCGGAUCCGGAUCUAGCUUCUUCUGUAGAUGUAGAAGGGAUCCGUUGAGGAACCAGGGCCGGAAGCGGAGGGCUGGAUCCGUGCUUCAUCCACGUCGCCGGUGCACCUGGUGCUCCAGCUACAAAGCUGUUGAGGAACCAGGUCACUGGCGCUUGAGCAUGGCCGGAUCUGACGAAGAGACGGUGGAGGUGGGCAUGAACGAGGAGCGGCGGUUGUGCGGCUUGGCCGGAGAUGACGACGAGGACAACAUGGACGAGGACCGCGCGGCCCUAUUCGGCGCAACCGCUGAUGAUGCUAUUCCCGUCGACGGCGACGGCGAACACGUUGAGGAACCACCUGCACCUGACGGUAACACCGCCAAGCGCCCACGCCCCUCUACCUCUCCUG